GGACCUGACUGCUAUCGGAUUGAUACUAAGCCAUGCGAGUCAUCGUAGCAAUACAAGGCAUACGGCUCAGUAACGCGUAGUCAACCUAACCUAUGGACGGGAAUAACCUCGGGAAACUGAGAAUAAUGCCCGAUAGAACAUUAUGCCUGGAAUGGUUUAUGUUCCAAAUGAUUUAUCGCCGUAGGAUGGGACUGCGGCCUAUCAGUUUGUUGGUGAGGUAAUGGCCCACCAAGACUAUUACAGGUACGGGCUCUGAGAGGAGUAGCCCGGAGAUGGGUACUGAGACACGGACCCAGGCCCUAUGGGGCGCAGCAGGCGAGAAAACUUUGCAAUGUGCGAAAGCACGACAAGGUUAAUCCGAGUGGUUUCUGCUAAAGAAACCUUUUGUCAGUCCUAGAAACACUGAUGAAUAAGGGGUGGGCAAGUUCUGGUGUCAGCC
rnacentral:rRNA from 1 species